GAUGAACGCUGGCGGCGUGCCUAAUACAUGCAAGUCGAGCGAACAGACGAGGAGCUUGCUCCUCUGACGUUAUCUUCUGACGUGUGAGUAACACGUGGAUAACCUACCUAUAUGACUGGGAUAACUUCGGGAAACCGGAGCUAAUACCGGAUAAUAUAUUGAACCGCAUGGUUCAAUAUUUAAAUACGUUUUUUCUGUCUCUUAUAGAUUGAUCCGCGCCGCAUUAGCUAGUUGGUAAGGUAACGGCUUACCAAGGCUACGAUGCGUAGCCGACCUGAGAGGGUGAACGGAAAAACGGGAAAUGAGAAAAGGAAAAGAAGACUAAGGGAGGAAGCAGAAGGGAAUAUGCCGAAAUGGGCGAAAGCAUGACGGAGAAACGCCGCGUGAGGGAUGAAGGAAUGCGGAUCGUAAAACUCUGUUAUUAGGGAAGAACAAAUGUGUAAGUAAAAAUGCACGGAUUGACGGUAAAUAAUAAGAAAGAAACGGAUAACUACGUG
rnacentral:rRNA from 1 species